UACGUAGGGGGCUAGCGUUGUCCGGAAUCAUUGGGCGUAAAGCGCGCGUAGGCGGCCCUGUAAGUCCGUUGUGAAAGUCAAAGGCUCAACCUUUGAAAGCCGAUGGAUACUGCAGGGCUAGAGUCCGGAAGAGGCGAGUGGAAUUCCUGGUGUAGCGGUGAAAUGGCGCAGAUAUCAGGAAGAACACCCGUGGCGAAGGCGGCUCUCGUGGGACGGUACUGACGCUGAGACGCGAAAGCGUGGGGAGCGAACAGGG
rnacentral:rRNA from 1 species